rnacentral:rRNA from 1 species
GAUGAACGCUAGCGACAGGCUUAACACAUGCAAGUCGAGGGGCAGCACAGGUAGCAAUACCGGGUGGCGACCGGCGCACGGGUGAGUAACGCGUAUGCAACUUACCUAUCAGAGGGGGAUAACCCGGCGAAAGUCGGACUAAUACCGCAUGAAGCAGGGGUCCCGCAUGGGGAUAUUUGCUAAAGAUUCAUCGCUGAUAGAUAGGCAUGCGUUCCAUUAGGCAGUUGGCGGGGUAACGGCCCACCAAACCGACGAUGGAUAGGGGUUCUGAGAGGAAGGUCCCCCACAUUGGUACUGAGACACGGACCAAACUCCUACGGGAGGCAGCAGUGAGGAAUAUUGGUCAAUGGGCGUAAGCCUGAACCAGCCAAGUCGCGUGAGGGAUGAAGGUUCUAUGGAUCGUAAACCUCUUUUAUAAGGGAAUAAAGUGCGGGACGUGUCCUGUUUUGUAUGUACCUUAUGAAUAAGGAUCGGCUAACUCCGUGCCAGCCGCCGCUGUAA